AAUAAUCAGCUUGCUGUAAGAAAGGCCACAAGCAGCUUUAGUUCAAUGUUGGUAGAUCAUCUACGAGAGCCGGCAGCGGUCUCUAGAUACAAAUUUCACCCCCAAAGUCCCAAUCACUCAAUUCAUCAUGGUAGUAUCUGUGCUCAAAUUAGUGAUACUCUUUUUCGGUUUCAUGGGAUACUUUAUCCGAGCUCAACAACCUUCGGAAGAGGUUCAUUCCAUUGCCAACAACAACCCCUACAGGGACAAACGGAGCAUUAUCUACCUGAAUAGCAGAGCCCCUAUUACAGUUGCGGUCGUUAUUGCGCUUCCCAUUUCGGUGAUGUUUCAGGCCCUGGGUAGCCGUAGUAGCAGAAAACAAAUCCUGCGUAACAAUGCUAGCCAAAAAGUGGGUAACUCUUAUACUAGCUGCAGGAAAUUGACCCAAAAGAGUUCUAAUGCCAAUUCUUUUUAUUGCCAUUUAAACGGUGACGUGGACCUAACACGUUACUGUAGUCACCUUACAAAUAAACAGGAUCCGAGCCUGUUUGUCGACAGUUAUACAAAUGAAAAAUUGUUUUGGGAUUCACACAAUUGUUAAUAUUUUAGAUGUUAUACGUACCUCGGAAACAAAAUGAAACUACGGCUUCAAUAAAAACAAUUCUCGCUGUUUGCCAUAGAAAAGCUUUC